rnacentral:lncRNA from 1 species
UCGGGUUUUAAACUUUAUUUCUGGGUGACUUUAUUAUCCAUCUCGAGAUGGCGCAUUUCUCGUGAAAAAGAUUCAUCUAUUAGAUUAAUAAAAGGGGCUCAUUGAGAACAGAAAACCGAGUACGAUUGCACCAUUCACAUAUGAUUGAACCAUCAGUCCAAUAUUUUAUUUUUGUUGAUCUUAAUUUCGACAAGAUUUGUCCUGUUUUUACCACAAAUUUGCUAUCAUGCUAUGUACAACAAGGUUUGCUCUAUUCUUGCCACAAAUUUGCUACCAUAUUGUAUACAGCAAGGUUUGCCUUGUUCUUGCAAAUUUGUUAUGCUUUAAUAGCAAGUUUUACCCUGUUAUUUGCAUAAAAUAUGCGUCAUACUAUUUACAACAAGCUUUGCCAGCAAAAGCUAAGCUUAAUGCGGACACACCUUGUCGUAAUUUUACUGCAAAGGUUUGCUCGAAUUUGUAGCAAACUUCACGCAAAGUUUGCGUCAUUUUGCUAACUGGGUAUAUUUUCAAUUUGAAAACAAUAAUGUUAUUAUUUAAAAAAAUAAGUUUUAAAAUAAAAAAUACUUAUUUAUUUCUAGUGUCCGGACAAUGUAUUCUAUUUCAAUUACAAAUAUUAUCAUAGUAUUAUACUACUUGGAAUCUGUAAUGCUAAUUAUAUGUUUAUGUUUGUCGAUACUGGAGGUUAUGGUCUGCGUAGCGAUGGCGGAAUAUUUAAAGAUUCAAUAAUUGGCUAAAAGUUUAAUAAUAAGAAGAGAAAUGAAUUUACCGGAUGUAAAUCUUUGACAGUAGAUGGACCACCUGUACUAUAUGUAUUGGUAGGCGAUGAAGCAUUUUCACUAACGGAAUACUUAUUAUGACUAAUAAGGCUGGUUUAACUUAAGAUCGAACAAUUUAUAAUUAUCGACUUAGCCGAGCGAGACGACUAUUAAAAAUAUCUUUGGAAUUUUGGUUAGUCAAUGGCAAAUUUUUAAAAGACCUAUAAUUUGUACUUGAUAAAGAGCAAUGAAAAUUGUUCAAGCUAUUACGUCUUCAUAAGUGGACUCGACAUUUAGAAGAAAAUCAGUAUAUAACCAACAAUGUUAGAUCAAAAUGAUCCAGAUGGGCUUGUUUUUGAUUCUUGGAGACAAGAGAUAUAAAAUAGUGCUGAAAGUUGAAAGAUAUAACUCGAUGUAGUACAAAUAAUAGUUCUCAACAAGCGGGAAAAAUUUGUGAAAAAUUUUGCAAAUUUUUUAAUAACAUAGGAGCCAUACUUUGGCAAUUUGCUCAUAGUUAAUUAUUAUUAAUUUGAAAUUUUUAUUUUUAAAUAAUUACAUACUUUAAUAUAUUUUGUAAUUUUAUAAUCUUAUAUCUUGUAAUCUUAUAGACACCAAAAAUAAAAUUGUAUUCUUUUCUUAAUAUAACAAUUUUUACAAAACAAUAACGCAUAAUAAUUUUUAAUAUACAGUAAUUUUACUGGGGUGUUGGAUGUGUGCUGCAGAGGUAGCACCCUUUGCCACAACGGUCGCAUCAACAAGAGAUGAUUGUUGGUAACCGGUCUUCGUAGCGCACCAGCUCUCAUUUAUGGCUCUUAGUGUUACAUCCCGGUGCACUGCAUCGGUCUGCAGGUGAAACUAAGUGAGGGUAGCCAUAUCAAAAAUCAUAACCUAGAAUAGACAUCAGCUCAGACCACAAUCCACUUGUGUUGGACGUGACGCUGAAGCUGAAAGCGGUUAGGAAAAAGCGUACCAACGGGAAGAUUGACACCUCCAAAUUACAUGAUGCCGAUGUAAAAGAGAAGAUUUGUGUGCAGCACCUGGGAGCACCGUUGCGUGCAAGGAAAAAGGCAUCGAUGACAUCCUGAUCCUGAUGGAGAGACGCUGAUUGCUCAAGAACAACAAAGAAGAGUACAGAGAGCUGCAACGCAUAAUAAAGAGGGAAAUCAGGGCAGUAAAACAACGCUGGAUGACCGAAAAGUGCGUGGAAAUGGAAGAUCUCAUUUUGAAGCACGAUCUGAUGAACAUUCACAACAAGGUAAAAAAGGUGACCGGCCUUUAUAACAAUCGAAAGCCCAUGGCAUUAUUAGAUGACACAAACAAAAUGGUGGAAGAGGCAAAGGCAAUGACCGCGUGGCAGGAAUACGUGGCUAAGUUAUUUGGAGACACCAAAAUGAACGUAGAGAUUAUGGAUCGACAGGGUUUCCAACACUGAGGUGCUGGAAAGAGCUCGAGCGCAGCGGGAAUUACUAACUACCAUCAAAUGCAGGAAAAUAGACUAUCUUGGGCCCAUCCUAAGAGGGGAGAAGUAUCGACUCUUCCAGUUAAUUAUGAAGGGGAGAAUAGAAGGUCGUCGCGGUAUAGGAAGAAAGCAGCUAUCAUGGAUGAGGAACAUUAGAACGUGGACAGGUAUCGAGGAGCGGAGGAGCUCUUCCGCGCGAUGGACAGAGAGGUUGCCGCCAGAGUGAUCGCCGACGGGGAACCGGGCAUGGCAUGUGAAGAAGAAGUAAUUUUACUACUACUGACAGUGGGUUAAAAUUAGUAGUAGUAGAAUUAUUAAAAACAAAAAAUAGUCAUUAUAUUAAUUAGUAUUAUAUAUUAAUUGAAAGUAGCGUAAAUUUAAAGUAAGUUUUAAAGUUUUGACAAUGCAUCAUAAGUUAUUUUUAAGAAUUGUUGUAUUAUUUCUCUCAAGUAUCGGUAGUUUUUUUAAAAUAUGUCCUAUCCCUUAGAAAGAAAUCCAUGUCAUCCAAUUCUGGAGGAAGAGGCAAUGUUUUAUCUUUGAGUUGACAAAUUGCAUCAGCAAUUCUAUUAAUUGCUGUAUCAUUAUUAAUCCGUUUUCUUUUUCUUCCAGAAAAAUCUAAAAUUAUCAUAUCAAUUUUAUUUUGUAAUUAUUGUUUCAUACACAUUAAUUCUCUAACAAUUUUAUUAACAAUACCUGUUUGAAUACAAGAUAAAUCAUCAUUGAUGUCCAUUGAGAAAUUAGGAGUGCUACAUGAGUCUCUCUCAUUUCCUUUCUAUGUUUGAUACAGUACUAUAAGUUAUAAAUUAAUCCAUGUAAAUUAAAUUUUUUAAAAAUUA